rnacentral:ncRNA from 1 species
GACGACCGGCUGGACACCCAUGUGUCCGGCCAGCAAGUGGAGGCUCCGAUCUCCCACCUGGUCGGCCCCAGGGCCGACGGGUCCCGGUCAGACGGUCACCCGGACGGCUUCCCGCCGAUCGGGCCCCGUCCGAUGCGCCCCGCGGAAUAGCGCGGCGGUGCUCCCGGUUGUGAGGAGCCCCGCCUGUCUCCCGUAUGGGGCGUUUUUU